AUAGUGAAGCCCAGAGAGCAUUUGGAGCAGUCCGAUAAACGACUGAAGGAGCUCGUUAUCGGAGAAGUCUGGAGGGUACGAUAGGAGUUCGUCCAUUGGAGAAAUUUGGAGGACACCAUGGAAGGUCGACUACUGGAGGAGUCCGGAUGGUAUUGUGGAAGCUCGGACGGUCGGGGGAGUUCGAAAAGAUGUUGCUCAAGGUC
rnacentral:lncRNA from 1 species